AGAGUUUGAUCCUGGCUCAGGAUGAACGCUGGCGGCGUGCUUAACACAUGCAAGUCGAACGGUCCUUCGGGACAGUGGCGGACGGGUGAGUAACGCGUGGGAAUCUGCCCUUAGGAGGGGGAUAACGGUUGGAAACGACCGCUAAUACCCCAUAUGCCGAGAGGUGAAAUGAAAUUCGCCUGAGGAUGAGCCCGCGUCUGAUUAGCUAGUUGGUGGGGUAAAGGCCUACCAAGGCGACGAUCAGUAGCUGGUCUGAGAGGAUGAUCAGCCACACUGGGACUGAGACACGGCCCAGACUCCUACGGGAGGCAGCAGUGGGGAAUUUUCCGCAAUGGGCGAAAGCCUGACGGAGCAACGCCGCGUGAGGGAUGAAGGCCUCUGGGCUGUAAACCUCUUUUCUCAAGGAAGAAGAUCUGACGGUACUUGAGGAAUAAGCCACGGCUAAUUCCGUGCCAGCAGCCGCGGUAAUACGGGAGUGGCAAGCGUUAUCCGGAAUUAUUGGGCGUAAAGCGUCCGCAGGCGGCCUUGUAAGUCUGUUGUUAAAGCGUGGAGCUUAACUCCAUUUCAGCAAUGGAAACUACAAGGCUCGAGAGUGGUAGGGGCAGAGGGAAUUCCCGGUGUAGCGGUGAAAUGCGUAGAUAUCGGGAAGAACACCAGUGGCGAAGGCGCUCUGCUGGGCCAUAACUGACGCUCAUGGACGAAAGCCAGGGGAGCGAAAGGGAUUAGAUACCCCUGUAGUCCUGGCCGUAAACGAUGAACACUAGGUGUCGGGGGAAUCGACCCCCUCGGUGUCGUAGCCAACGCGUUAAGUGUUCCGCCUGGGGAGUACGCACGCAAGUGUGAAACUCAAAGGAAUUGACGGGGGCCCGCACAAGCGGUGGAGUAUGUGGUUUAAUUCGAUGCAACGCGAAGAACCUUACAGGGUUUGACAUCCUGCGAACCCCUGAGAAAUCGGGGGGUGCCUUCGGGAACGCAGUGACAGGUGGUGCAUGGCUGUCGUCAGCUCGUGUCGUGAGAUGUUGGGUUAAGUCCCGCAACGAGCGCAACCCACGUCUUUAGUUGCCAGCAUUCAGUUGGGCACUCUAGAGAGACCGCCGGUGAUAAACCAGAGGAAGGUGUGGAUGACGUCAAGUCAUCAUGCCCCUUACAUCCUGGGCUACACACGUACUACAAUGCUACGGACAAAGGGCAGCAAGCUCGCGAGAGUUAGCAAAUCCCAUAAACCGUGGCUCAGUUCAGAUCGUAGGCUGCAACUCGCCUACGUGAAGGAGGAAUCGCUAGUAAUCGCAGGUCAGCAUACUGCGGUGAAUACGUUCCCGGGCCUUGUACACACCGCCCGUCACACCAUGGAAGUUGGCCAUGCCCGAAGUCGUUACUCCAACCCUUGUGGAGGAGGACGCCGAAGGUGGGGCUGAUGACUGGGGUGAAG
rnacentral:rRNA from 1 species